rnacentral:rRNA from 1 species
UGAGUAACACGUAUCCAACCUGCCGUCUACUCUUGGACAGCCUUCUGAAAGGAAGAUUAAUACAAGAUGGCAUCAUGAGUCCACAUGUUCACAUGAUUAAAGGUAUUCCGGUAGACGAUGGGGAUGCGUUCCAUUAGAUAGUAGGCGGGGUAACGGCCCACCUAGUCAACGAUGGAUAGGGGUUCUGAGAGGAAGGUCCCCCACAUUGGAACUGAGACACGGUCCAA